AUUGAACGCUGGCGGCAGGCCUAACACAUGCAAGUCGAACGAGUGGCGGACGGGUGAGUAAUGUCUGGGAUACUGCCCGAUGGAGGGGGAUAACUACUGGAAACGGGAGCUAAUACCGCAUACCAUCGGAUGUUCCCAGAUGGGAUUAGCUUGUAGGUGGGGUAACGGCUCACCUAGGCGACGAUCCCUAGCUGGUCUGAGAGUAUGACCAGCCACACUGGAACUGAGAGACGGUCCAGACUCCUACGAGAGGCAGCAGUGGCGAAGUUUGCACAAGGGGCGCAAGCCUGAUGCAGCCAUGCCGCGUGUAUGAAGAAGGCCUUCGGGUUGUAAAGUACUUUCAGCGGGGAGGCGUUACUCGCAGAAGAAGCACCGGCUAACUCCGUGCCAGCAGCCGCGGUAAUUC
rnacentral:rRNA from 1 species